UCCCCUGUGGCGCAGCGGUAGCGCAGCGGACUGUUAAUCCGUUGGUCGCAAGUUCGAAUCUUGCCGGGGGAGCCA
rnacentral:tRNA from 2 species